rnacentral:rRNA from 1 species
ACACGUAAACAACCUGCCUUCAGGAUGGGGACAACAGACGGAAACGACUGCUAAUACCGAAUAAGUUCCAAGAGCCGCAUGGCCCAUGGAAGAAAAAGGUGGCCUCUACCUGUAAGCUAUCGCCUGAAGAGGGGUUCGCGUCUGAUUAGCUGGUUGGAGGGGUAACGGCCCACCAAGGCGACGAUCAGUAGCCGGUCUGAGAGGAUGAACGGCCACACUGGAACUGAGACACGGUCCAGACUCCUACGGGAGGCAGCAUG